AGGGCAUCGAUGCCUCUCGUCUCACCGUCAUCGUCACCGGUACCUUUCUCUUCAUUUCCUCCCACUUUGUCUACUUUCACAGUGGAAGCAGUGGGAUCGGAGCAGAGACUACAAGGGUGUUGGCCCUGAGAGGAGCCCAUGUCAUCAUCGGUGUAAGGAACUUGGAAGCUGUCAAUGCCGUGAAGCAGAACAUCCUGAACAACAUUCCAUCUGCUAGAAUUGACAUCAUCUAGAUUGAGCUCAGCUCGCUCAAAUCUGUCCGAGCCUUCGCCGAGAAAUUCCUCGCCAUGAAUCUCCCUCUCAACAUCUUGAUAAACAACGCUGGUGUGAUGUACUGCCCAUUCAAGCUCUCAGAGGAUGGAGUAGAGAUGCAGUUUGCGACGAAUCAUCUCGGUCACUUCCUGCUGACAAAUCUUCUACUUGAGAAACU